rnacentral:rRNA from 1 species
UACGUAGGGCGCAAGCGUUGUCCGGAAUUAUUGGGCGUAAAGAGCUCGUAGGCGGCUUGUCACGUCGGGUGUGAAAGCCCGGGGCUUAACCCCGGGUCUGCACUCGAUACGGGCUGGCUAGAGUGUGGUAGGGGAGAUCGGAAUUCCUGGUGUAGCGGUGAAAUGCGCAGAUAUCAGGAGGAACACCGGUGGCGAAGGCGGAUCUCUGGGCCAUUACUGACGCUGAGGAGCGAAAGCGUGGGGAGCGAACAGG